AGGGAGCAAGAAAAAGAGAGGAGACGGAGCGGAAGAAGGGAGGAAGAGAGAGAAGGGCCAGGCAAGCUCAAUUGCAAAAAUUAUUUUUAAAGUGUGUCCAGAUAUUUUGUUUUCUUUUUUUUUCCUCCUACAGCAAUAAUGCCCAUCUCUGGCUCUGCAGGACAUAGGAGAACCUGCAAUUUGUGGACUAUGUGAUGGCUCAGCUUUCCCCUCCUUACCUCAGUCUUGAUUCCAUGUUCAUAUAAAGGUGUUCUGAGAAAAGGAGAAUGGUGCAUGACCUGCAGCCCUUCAGCUUUCCGGGCGUCUGUCUCCACCCUUCGCAAGCCUAGUAAUGGGUUGACAAGCACUGGUUGACAGCAAAUCAGGCCAUCAACAGGAUUUUACACACACACACACACACACACACACACACACACACACACACACACACACACACACACACACUCACAGAGCACCGGUUCCUGAGGAGACCAGCGGCAAGGGCUUGCACAGGAAAACUACUCUAUACCUCAUGAGUUCCUGCUGGAAAUAGAGUUUGAUUAACUGGAAAUCCAGGGAGCUGCAGCAUUUAAAGGUAAAACAAUGGGACUUUACUUUUGAAUCUUUUGCCUCAUCCAAGCUGCCUGGGUGACAGAUAAUGAGAAAACCUGGAGACAUCCAAAUGGAGUGGAGACUGUGAAGCUCAGAGCUGAGGGAGCCUCAGCCAGAGGAGUGUCACUACAAGCAGGUACUUUAGAGAACAGCUGCAUCCUGUGGAAGCAGAGAAGGAAACAGCAGCAUCCACUAGAAAGCAACACUGGGAGUCAAGACAUGACAAUAUCCAAAUAAAAGCUCAGAAUAUGGCUUAUUCUCCAGACCAAGGCCAUAACGUAGUGCUCUCACCCCCAUCACCAAACCAGGUCUCAUGUUCUCUAGGACUUUUUCUUUGAUUUAGCAGGAAGCCACUAAAUCCAUAGGAGUGACAGAAUAGAGCCCUCCCUCCCCUUGACAUUCUUUCUCUGAGCACCUUGGUGGAUAUUGGGUCUCUUGUAACAACACUAUAAUGUCUUGCUGCAAUUGAGGUCAUGGCCUUGCACAGCCCUUGAAGCACAGGUGCUUGUGGGCUAGGGCUUGCUAUAUGAUGAACUACAUCUCUAGCCAACUAAAGAGUAGUCUCAUCUUACAGCAUCUGCUAGCAUCUCCUCCUGCUUCCUCUGCCACAACAAAUAGCAGAACCAUUGCUUCAAAUGCCACCUGUAAUAUCCUAGUCCAUGAAGCAGCUGCUUCUUGCUAGGACACACGGUGCUUUCCCAUCAAGCCCUGCCCCCACCCUCCCCUCCUUCUGGCACAGACUUCUGAGCCUUCUGGCUCUGCUGUCAUCUGUUCCAGGAUGCCUUUCCUGUCCCUGAGCAACACGAACAGCUUUUCUCAGGGUCCACAGGGAAUUUCCUGUGCUUUCCUCACAAUUUUGCUCUUCAAUGUGGUUUCUCCACAUCUGGUCUGUGUUUUCCUCUUCAAAGAGCUUAGAGCAGUGCCUGUCCCCAGUAAAUAUCUGCUUGAUUUUUCAAACAGCCUUCCUCCAAUCAUUAGAAGAAUACAGUCUGUAAAUAUACAAAAUAAAAGUAGGGAUCCUUUG
ensembl:lincRNA 2810471M01Rik RIKEN cDNA 2810471M01 gene